rnacentral:lncRNA from 1 species
AUUGAUAGAUUUUUAAGCUAGAAAUGAAAAAGGAUUGAAUUGUAGAAUAAAUUAUAAAUUUUGAAUAUUAGGGAUUAAAAUGUGAAAAUUUCAAAAUUUAAGGAUUUAAGUGAAAUUAGAUAGUUAAAUCUAGUUUAAAGUGGAAAUUGAAUAAAAAUAUAGAAUUAAUUAUGAAGAAAUAAAGUUAGUCUCAAUUUAGGGACUAAAUUGGAAUUUAGGCAAAUGUUGAAUAAAAAUUGAAAUAUUCAAUGUGAAAUUGAAUUGUAAUAUAUUGAUGAAUUUUAAUUGUUUUAGUUCCGUAGCUAACGUUGUACCGGAACCCUCAACUAAGAAGGGGAAAAAUAAAGUCAAUGAGGAAUAGCUCGAAAAUUCUGAUUUGUAUUUCUAUAAUUCGAAUUUAAUUAUUAAUUUUUGUAUUUUGAUUAAAUGUUUAUGGUAAGUGAUUGAGGUGAGCAUUUAGCAUUUUGAUAUUUAAUUGAAAUUAUAUGAAUAUGUGAAUAAUGUGAAAUUUGAAUAUUGGAUAUUGUUGCAUUUGAAUUGUGAAUUGAACUCUAUUAACUGUAUCGAGCUGAGUCGAAUAUAGAUGGCAUGCCAUAGGAUUGGAAGAGUUUAAGGAUUACUUUGACUUCGAGUCGAUGAGACACUGGGUGUCAAUUUAUUACUUCGGAUUAAUUCGAUGAGGCAUUGGGUGCCAAUUUAUUUCGGUUUAGCCGAUGAGACACUGUGUGUCAACUUAUUACUGCGAAUUAUCUGAUGAGGUACUAGGUACCAAAUUGGUGUGUUUUGGUUAGAUCCGUGUAUCCGUCCGAGUCCAAGUUGUAUUAAUAGGGAUAAUUAAACGAAGUGAUAUUAUGAAUGAUAUUGGAUAAUACUGAAUGUGAAAUGGAAAUGAGACAUAUAAAUUGUAUAUCAUAUCGUGAAAAGCUAUUUGAGAUAACAAAUGAUGAGAAUUGAAUAUGUUAUGAUUAAUUUGUUUAUGAAAUGAUUAAUUGAAUGGUUAUUGUUAUUGUAUGAUUAAAUGUGCAUAUUAUGUUAUUUUACUUUUAAAUAUUCGAAUUAUAGAAAUACCACUGAGUUUAUACUCAGCGUACGGUUUUAUUUUCCGUGCGCAGAUUAGGUAUUUAAGGUUUGACUGCCGAUUCAGCAUCCAACAAUGGUCCCGAACUCAAACGUGGUGAUGUUAUUCCUUUUUGUGUCGACAUGUACCUAGGGCAUUUAAUUGUUAACUAUUUUGUGGAUAGACUGUAAAUAAGAUUAUAAGUUAAUAUUGGUUAGUUAUAUAUAUGAGCAUGUGUUAUAUUAAGGCUAUAAUAUGGCAUGUUUUAAAUUAUUGCAUAAAUGAACAUGAUAUAGGCAAAAUUAGGUUGAAUUUGGUAUCUUUACAAAUUCAAUUUGAAUGAUGUUUAAAUUAAUAUGUUUUGAUAAUAUGAUUCUGGUACCUAUGAGGGUACAUUGGUUAGACAUCUAGGUUGAUUAUUUUGACAUGUUUUGAAGAUAUUUGAUUUUGUUUCGAAUUGGUUGAACAAUUAAUUUUGAGUUGUUUAGUAUUCAAGAUUGCAGGGAAUGGUAAACUUGAUGUUUAAGGUUCAUCUUGAGUCCACAUGGCUAACACAUGGGCGUGUGGUUUGACUGUGUAUCCUCUAUAACUUUAAAAUUUCAAAACGGAAUACUCAGGUAUUUUCACAUGGGCAGAAACACUGGUGUGUGUCUCUGCCGUGUGAGACACACGGCCUAGCACAUAGGCAUGUGGCUUGGCCGUGCGUAUGGCUAGGCCGUGUGACUUAAGUCAAUAAAAACUUAAAUUUAGACAUGGGCUAGGACACGGCCGUGUGCCCCUAUUUUGAAUGUACACAUGGCCUGAGACAUGGGCAUGUUUCUUGACAGUGUGAGCCACACGGCCUAGUCACACGGGCGUGUGUCCCCUAUUUCUUUAAAAUUUUUUGAUGUUUUCGAAAAUUUUUUUUGAUUACUCGAUUUAGCCUCGAUUUGUUUCUAACAUAUAUUUUGGGCCUCGAGGGCUCAUAUAAGGGACAAUAUAAUUGAUUUAUGACAUGUAUGUUAAAUAAUAUGUAAUUUUUGUUUUUUUAUCUGAAAAGUUUGGUAAUGCUUUGUAACCCUGUUUCGGCGACGAAUAAGGGUUAGGGGUGUUACAGUUACCUUAAAAUAUGAUAGGUUAAUUAUGUUAUGCUUUUAUUGUGGUCGACUUGGACAUAAUGGCUCAUUCUACCAAUUGCGGAUGUUAAGAAGGGAAUAAUCUACAGAGUUAGGUUGGGAUUUGACCCUUCAUGCACAGUCUAAGAGAGCUGCUGCUAUGUAGAGUGUGUGGUUGAUUGAGGAUAGUGAUUGGGGUAGACUUGGAAAUCUUAGUCAACAAGUGAAUCUGAAUACUGGACCACAAGAGGGACAUGUUCGGUUGGAUCCCAUGUUAGGAAUUAAUUUAGAGGAGGAAAUGGUAUUAUGGGUCAGGGGGAAGGUCGGAUUGAUAUGGAACAUGACAAGGAGGAAUUUUCGAUUGGGACUGGCGAAGGUAAAAAGAGGUUUCGCAAGGAGGGUGAAACACUGAGCUUUAAUUGUGUAGAAGAUGCGUUAGUGGUUAGGGAGGAAAGACCAGUGGGGAAAACCCAUUUUGUAUUGGCGGUGCCAGGAGGCAAGCUGACUGGUCACAAUGAAAAUCUUGAGUUGGAAUGUCCGUGGUUUGGGGAGUCCACGGGCAGUUAGAAGGGUUCGACAUUUGCUAAAGUUGUAUAAUCCCCACUUAGUAUACUUUAUGGUGACUAAAUUAAAUAGUAAGAGGAUGGAGAAUAUUCAUAGGCGUUUUGGUGUUUGAAUGGUUUUGAUGUUUUGACGGAGCGCUCGAGAGGUGGCUUGUGUAUAACAUGAAAUGUAAUAAUACUAUCUCUUUUAGAAAUUAUUCAAUGAACCAUAUUGAUGUAGAUGUUCAUGAAGAUGAAAGUAAUUUACGAUGGAAUUUCACCGAGUUUUAUGAGGCUUCUUAUGUUAGGGGAUAGGAAGAUUCGUGGCUAAUUUUUAAGUCACCGAGGACUUCGAAAGACUCCUAUUGGAUGGUGUGUGGGGACUUCAAUGAAAUCUUGUAUUCAUUUGAGAAAGUAAGGGGUGUGCCUAGGGACGAGAGAAGGAUGGAAAUGCUUAGAGGAGUUUUGGAGGACUGUCACUUAGUGGAUUUGGGAUACUCUGGACCUUGGUAUGCAUGGAAGAGGGGAAUAUUCAGGAAAUGAAUAUUAGAGAACGUCGACUAAGGGGUAACUAAUGAAGGCUUGAUAAACUUAUUCCCUAAUUUUAUGGUACGUCAUUUACCUUACUUUUAUUCAAAUCAUUGUCCUCUCCGAUAGAGAAGGGCAUUCAUCACAGACCUAUGCAUUUUUGAUUUGAGGCUUUGUGGGUAAUGUAAGAGUCUUUUGAGGAUAAUGUUAGAAAAUUUGUGGUAAUGAUGAAUGAGAUAUUUUCAUUAAGUUAGAACAAAUUAGGAUUGAUUUGUGUCAAUGGGCCAAAUUGAUUCGGGGAAAAAGGGAUGGUAUUUGGCAGGACUUGACGAGUAAAUUAGGGGAUUUAUUGGAAAGAGAGAGAUGAUGCAACCCUCGAGGAGUUGAUUGAAACAAAAAUUAUCUUGAAUUUAGAAAUUGAUAAAGAUGAGAUGUUUUAAGAACAUUGAGCACACGUGAAUUGGCUUCGCUUGGGAGAUAAAAACACAACUUUCUUUUAUAAAUAUGCUUCACAGAGAAAAAAAAACCAAAUUAUGGGUUUACAAUAUGAGGAUGAGAGAGGAACGACCGAGGAGGCUGGGAUGGAGUGUAUCGCAAUGGACUACUUUAAGGAGCUUUUUACGACUAAUAGCAGUAUGGUUACGGAUCAUUUGUUAAUGGGGGUGAUAAAGUAAAUUUUUGAUGAGGAAAAUUUAAUGUUAACCAAAAGGUAUACUGAGGAUGAGAUUGUUAAUGCUUUAAAAAGUAUGAGACUGAUAAAAGCUUUUAGUGAUGAUAGUUUUUCGACAUUAUUUUUCAGCAUUUUUGGCAUAUUAUGGGCAGGGAGAUUGCUAAUUUCUGCUUGGAGGUACUGAAUAGUGGUAAGGUUCUUGAUUCCGUUAAUAUUACCAAUCUUUGUGCUUAUUCUGAAAACUCCCCAGCCAUUAAUUUUUAAGAAUUCUAGAUUCAUUAGUUUGUGUAAUGUAUUGUACAAAUUGGUCGCUAAGAUAAUAGCGAAUCGAUUUCAGCGAGUGCUAGAAGGGUGUAUUGAUGGUGCAUAGAGUAUUUUUGUGCCAGGAUGAUUGAUUACAGAUAAUAUUCUAGUGGAUUAUGAAAUUUUGCACUCAUUUAGAUAGAAACGAUUGGGUAAAAAGAGGUCUACGGCUUUAAAGGUUGACAUGAGUAAGGCUUAUGAUCUUGUUGAAUGGAACUUCCUUUGUGUGAUGAUGGAGCGAAUAGGUUUUGUAUUGUCUUAGAUUGACUUAAUCAUGAGGUGCAUCUCAUCUGUUUUAUAUUCAGUUAUUGUCAAUGGUAAGGUGGGAAAAGCUUUCAAACCAAGUAAGGGGGAAUCCUUUAAGCCCUUUUCUUUUCUUGAUUUAUAGUGAAGGGUUAUCAGUUUUGAUAAAUGAAGUGAUGAAUGGAGGCUUAAUUAAAGGUAUCAAGGUGAGUAGAGGGGGGACCUUUGAUUAUACACUUACUUUUUACCGACGAUUGUAUGUUGUUUGGAGAGGCUAAUGAAAGAGGGGUUCAUCCGCUGAAGAUUGUUUUACACGAGUACGAGAUCUAUUUUGUGUAGUGAAUAAAUUAUGAGAACUCAAUAGUUUUUUUUAAUUCCAAUGUGGGUGAAGAAGAUAGACAUUCAGUUUCUGGUGCCCUAGGAGUUAGAUACUCGAAUGACCCCGAGCAGUACUUGGGGUUACCUAAUAUGAUGGAGUGAAGUAAAAAGUUCACUUUUCAAACUUUAAAAGAUAGAUUUAAGCAAAGAUUAGACAGUUACAGUAUACUGUUCUUAUCCCUAUGGAGAAGGAAGUCUUUAUUAAAGCAGUUAUUCAAGUUAUUCCUACAUAUUCUAUGAUGUGUUUUUUGUUACCUAAAUAUUUUUGUACUGAACUAGAGGGUAUUAUUUCUAGGUUUUGGUGGCAAAAAGGGCAUGGUUGAAGAGGUAUCCCCUACUGCGAUUGGAAGAAGCUAUGUGAGUUGAAAGAGAUCGAAGGUUUAGGAUUUUUCAACUUAGCUAAAUUUAACUUAGCAUUAUUAGCGAAGCAGGGCUGGCAUCUUAUUCAAUACCCGAUUCGUUAUUAGCGCGAGUGUUAAAAGCAAAAUACUUUUCGCAAAGUGAUUUUUUGAGAGCUAGGUUGGGGAAUUUACAGUCGUAUACCUGAUAGAGUAUUUGGGCAACCCGAGGGCUUCUAGAAAUGGAUCUCUAUCGGAGAAUGGGCACAAGUGACAGAAUUAAUGUUAUGGAGGAUGGUUGGAUACCUGGUUCAAUUAAUUACAAAAUUAGUGGUUCUAUUUGUGAUAAUGGGAUAACUAUUGUUGCGAAAUUAAUUGAUAGCUCGCAUUGAAUUUGGAAAGAGGAUGUGAUUCGUGAUACCUUUUCAAAUAUGGACAUUGAUAGAAUUCUACGGAUUCCUUUGGCAACGGUGGAACACGCUGAUCUGCUGGUGUGGAAAGGGGAGUCUUCGGGUGAGUUUUCAGCCAGAAGUGCAUAUAGAUUACUAUUGGACUUUAGUAAUGACAUGGAUACACUUGAAGUACAGAAAGUAAUGAAAGGUUUCUAUAAAACUUUCAACUUGAAAAGUCUCUUGGGACUUCUUGCCUACUCUAGUUAACUUACAGUACAAACGAGUUUGAAGAAAUGCGAAGAGUUUUACUUGGAACAAUGCAUCCCUCACUACGUUGUCGUGUCGUUGGGUCUGGGAAGACACCGCGAACGUGAACCUGAUUGAGAGCCUAAGUCGUUUAGUGAUCGAAAGAGCAAACAGAGGAUACGGGUACUAGAAGUUUCUCCGGAAAACUACAACCGACAGCAAUAAGGACAUAUAUGGGGAGUGGUGGGUAGCAGUUCAAUUAAUU